rnacentral:rRNA from 1 species
GACGAACGCUGGCGGCGUGCUUAACACAUGCAAGUCGAGCGGUAAGGCCUUUCGGGGUACACGAGCGGCGAACGGGUGAGUAACACGUGGGUGAUCUGCCCAGCACUUCGGGAUAAGCCUGGGAAACUGGGUCUAAUACCGGAUAUGACCUCCUAUCGCAUGGUGGGUGGUGGAAAGAUUUAUCGGUGCAGGAUGGGCCCGCGGCCUAUCAGCUUGUUGGUGGGGUAAUGGCCUACCAAGGCGACGACGGGUAGCCGACCUGAGAGGGUGACCGGCCACACUGGGACUGAGACACGGCCCAGACUCCUACGGGAGGCAGCAGUGGGGAAUAUUGCACAAUGGGCGAAAGCCUGAUGCAGCGACGCCGCGUGAGGGAUGACGGCCUUCGGGUUGUAAACCUCUUUCAGCAGGGACGAAGCGCAAGUGACGGUACCUGCAGAAGAAGCACCGGCUAACUACGUG